rnacentral:rRNA from 1 species
UACGUAGGGUGCGAGCGUUAAUCGGAAUUACUGGGCGUAAAGCGUGCGCAGGCGGUUUUGUAAGACAGGCGUGAAAUCCCCGGGCUCAACCUGGGAAUUGCGCUUGUGACUGCAAGGCUAGAGUACGUCAGAGGGGGGUAGAAUUCCACGUGUAGCAGUGAAAUGCGUAGAGAUGUGGAGGAAUACCGAUGGCGAAGGCAGCCCCCUGGGACGUGACUGACGCUCAUGCACGAAAGCGUGGGGAGCAAAC